rnacentral:rRNA from 1 species
UACGGAGGGGGCGAGCGUUAUUCGGAAUUAUUGGGCGUAAAGGGCGCGUAGGCGGUUUGUCGCGUCUGCCGUGAAAGUCCGGGGCUCAACUCCGGAUCUGCGGUGGGUACGGGCAGACUAGAGUGAUGUAGGGGAGACUGGAAUUCCUGGUGUAGCGGUGGAAUGCGCAGAUAUCAGGAGGAACACCGGUGGCGAAGGCGGGUCUCUGGGCAGUAACUGACGCUGAGGAGCGAAAGCGUGGGGAGCGAACAGG